GUGGGGAAUAUUGGACAAUGGGCGAAAGCCUGAUCCAGCCAUGCCGCGUGUGUGAAGAAGGUCUUCGGAUUGUAAAGCACUUUAAGUUGGGAGGAAGGGCAGUAAGUUAAUACCUUGCUGUUUUGACGUUACCAACAGAAUAAGCACCGGCUAACUUCGUGCCAGCAGCCGCGGUAAUACGAAGGGUGCAAGCGUUAAUCGGAAUUACUGGGCGUAAAGCGCGCGUAGGUGGUUCAGCAAGUUGGAUGUGAAAGCCCCGGGCUCAACCUGGGAAUUGCAUCCAAAACUACUGAGCUAGAGUACGGUAGAGGGUGGUGGAAUUUCCUGUGUAGCGGUGAAAUGCGUAGAUAUAGGAAGGAACACCAGUGGCGAAGGCGACCACCUGGACUGAUACUGACACUGAGGUGCGAAAGCGUGGGGAGCAAACAGGAUUAGAAACCCUGGUAGUCC
rnacentral:rRNA from 1 species